UCAGUCUGUGCUUCUGGCAUCUGGACACAUCAGCCUAUAUCUCUAGGACUUGAGCAGGAAGUACGUGUGACUUGCCUCGGGCUUCCUGGCCACACAGACCCAUAUCCUCAUUUAGAAUGGUUGCAUCAUGGAGCCGGCUGAGAUCUGCAGUCUUCAGUGUCAGCUGUGGGUCCACAAACUCCUACUGAACAUGUACCCAUAGCCCGAGGGGAAAAAACAAGGGAGGAAAGAAAAUAAUCAAGGUGGGGAGAGGGGAGAGAUUCUGGAAUCUAGACAACAUCAAGAGCCUGUUUCCAUGACAACCACUCCUUAAUACAGUUGCUCAGACUGCAGCCUGUUCUAAUCAGCCCCGUGGAUGGAGCCUGCAGACCCAGAAAUGGCCUCCACCCAGGGGGCUCCCAAGCAGCCUGGAGGACCACCAUCAUCCUCCGACCACCCCAAUCUCCUACAAAGAGAACAGAGGGCAAAGGAGGGGUGAGGCUUACAGGGGAGGUGAGAAAGAACAAUGAGGAGUGUUGAAGAAAGUGGAGAGUGAAAGGAAGGAGUCAGAGAUGCAGCCGGACGUUCAGGGGAUUGUCUGUGGGUGUUUGCUGGAGCCACCUGUGUCCAGCGACACUUGUCUUUGUGUUGGUGAGCCUCUGAGCAACCACAUGAUGCAUGACAGGCUGCAGCCAGUGUGUGAGUGUGACCAUCCACAGCACGUCCACUGAGCCCAUCUCCCUUCCCCUUCCUACACAUUGGAGUGCCCGCUUCCUCUCUUCUCUCUUUCCCUGUAAAGCUCUAAGCUUUGUAGUCCAAGGAUAAACCCUGUGAAGCAAAGGCCAGGAUCAGCACCCAGCCAGAAGUAGGUAUCAGCAGCUUCCAACAAUUUCUCAGCAAAUUGUUGGGAUAGAGAGAAGAAUUGUGCUAAUAUUCUCUAAAUUAGAGGCUUCUGGCUUAGGGACACCCCCGACCCUGCUCCCUACGGACUUCUCAAGUUCCCAGAAAAUGAUGGGUGACUUCUAGGUUUUCUUCCAAUCCACAUAUGAGACCUCAGAGGCUGGCAACUUGUCAAACUCACCUGCUGGGUCAGGUGUCAGCCUCGAGACUCUGUCCCUGGAAAGCCACACAUCCCCCUGCACACUCCAGGCUGCACUCUCCUUCUUCCUGUAUUCAUCUGGCAAUACCCCAAACACGCUGCAAAUCAAAUGACAUAUGAAAUGCUGCACACUCCGUCCCACUCUGAAGGGAGUCCGUCUAUGGGGACAACGGGUCUGGUUUAUAUUUUAAGCAGCUGGAGUAAAAAAUGGGGAGUGAUGAGGUAAGGCCAUGGCAACGAACACCAUGCCACUAUCCAGGAUAAUUACUUUGCCCAGCCAUCCUGGAGCCAGGCGGCGGAAGGCUUGCCCCAUAGAUUAUGAGCAAUGAGACAGGGCCAGCCAGCUUAGGAAUUCCCUUCCUCCACCUGCACCUUCACUGCAAACGGAAACAGCAGAAGGAACCAAUGCAGUGGGAGAUCCCAAUCAAAGCAAGAUGACCUGUCCCUCAAUUUCCAAUCGUUGGAGAAAUGCAAAGAAAAGUCCCUUUGCAUACCCCUCCUCCAAGUUACUACAUGGAAAAUCAGGGCUCUGAAUUUCAGUGAUGGCUGCUGAGCCAAGAGACGAGGAAAACCCACAAUCAACACAGGACAGAGACAGUGAAAAGGUUGGCCCCAGACCACUAAAUACACACCACCUGAAGAUACAGCAAAACCCAGAGGUGGUGACCACAGCAACAUGAGUACACACAAUGCAGACUGUCAGCAGCAGGAGGGCCAUGUGAUUGCAGAGGGCAGCCUGACAAGCCCAUGUGAUUCCCUCCACAUUAAGUGGAAACCACUCUCUCCACUGAGAAAGAGAGGUGAAGAGGUGGGAGGAGUGAAAAGUGAAAUUAACUUGAGCCAAGAUUACGCCCAUGGGUUCCGUAGAGACCAGGCAGGAAGGAAAGCCAAGAGGAGGGGCAGGAACUGUAUCCAGUGUGUGGUUGUGGUUCUGGGAGGAUGGAGCUUUUGAGAAGUGUGUCUCUGGUACACCCUACGCAGGAAAACCUCAGGACGACUUACAGGUGUACAAGCAUGUGUGUGGGUUUGAAGCACAUUUAUAAAUUGGGUUAAAGGGUGGUUAGGACCACAGAUUCUGGUUAAAAUACCAGCUUUAGAGUAUAUGACCACUUAGAGCUUCAAUGUCCUCAUCUACGAGGUGUAGAUAACAGUAAAAAACUAUCACAGGGUUGCUUUGAUGACAUAAUCCAUGAUAAAGCAUGGGACGUAGGGCCUGGCAUGUAGUAAGUGCUCCAUAAAUACUAAUUCGGUUUAUUAUUAUUUGACAUUCCCCAUGAGCUCAGGUCUAAAAUGACAUAGCAAAAAUAGGGUAGGUUGAUACAUAACAUUAUUAUUUGCAAGAAAGCCAUUGUUCAUAUUACCCAGUUAAACAGGGAACUGCUAACUUCUCAACCACACACUGAGUAUCAACAUAGGAUGAUAAUUCUAACUGGAUAAUCUCAGUAUUAGUCUAACAUAUAUUUAAAAGUAUCCCAUAGUGUCAUGGUAAAGCAAGAACUUUGAUAUUAGACUAUGGGAGUAUUCUAUUUUUUGCCACUUGCUGGCAAUUAGGCUGGCUUAGCCUAACGCCCUGCACAUAUUAACACCCCAAUAGCUGUUUUUAAAAAUUACAGUUCUGUGGAGUUUUAGAUGUGCUUAAUAUUGACAAUUCUGUUUUUGGUCUAAUAGCUUUUUUUUUCAAUCAUCCUUAUAGUUGAUUGUCAACAUAUCAAAACAAAAAGAUUUAUUCCAUAUCAACUGCCCACUGCUAGACAGUAAGUCGUCGAUGGGACUUUCACAGGUUUACAUGAAACACGUGGAUGUAUUAAUUCUUCAACCCACAUUGAGAUGAACUGUCACGUCCCUUUUAAACUCCAUCACAGGCAGCAAGUAUUAACCUGCAAUUAUUACCGUGUAUAAUGUGCUUUACAAUUGGCAAGAAUGUCAACAGUCCCUGGUUCAUUCAGCAACCCUGGUAUCAUUCACAAACUGCAGUUCUCAUUUUUUUCCUCAGGCCUGGAGGCAACUGAGAAGCAGAAAAUAGUCUCAGCCAGAUCCAGCCGCCCUGACACUUGCAGUGCAGGUGGCAGGUGCCGGAGCUUCAGACACGUGGCCCACAGGUGCAACAAGCCCACCUUGCUGGGGCUCUGCAACCACAGAGGCCCGUCCCAGCCAAUGAAGCCAUCCCUGGGGGACUCUGGAAAUUCUCCCUGCUAUCUGCAAACUGGUCUCUCAGAAUGUGUGGCCAUCUACACUUUAGAAUACACAAACAAGCAAUUUACUUGGUGAUUCAUAUUAUACAUACAUGUAUAUACACAGGUAUACAUGGAUAUACAUAUACACACAUUAUACUCGUACAUACACAUGCAUGCAUAGACACACAUAUGCAUAUAUACAUACGCAUAUACAUAUACACAUACAAUGUGUAUACCCAUGCAUAGCUACCCUUCCCAGUCACCUUAGGUGACACAUUUUGCUAGGGAUCUUUGUGGGACAAGAAGGGGCAUUUUCUGCUGCUCAAAUAGCUUUUGGAACCAAAACAUGUGCAAACCACUGGUUUAGGGGGCAAGAUCUGAACUCAAGGGGCAAGACCUGAACUCGGAGGUUCGCACAACAGGUGGCCAACCAAAGUUUGUGGUCCUAAUUAUUUCUGCUCUCUUUUCCCUUUCCCUAAAGGCCCUAGCACAGUUUCCUCUGCACCCAUGGUCCUCCAGGCCCUGCUGACUAAGGCAUGACUGGAGAGAGAAGCACCCGGUUCCUGACCUCAAAAAUUUCCCAAUGGUGAAUGAGCAGUGUGGCACUUUGUAAAGCUUUAUGGAAUUAGGAUAAAUGCUUCUGGCUAUUGGAAAACCUUAUUUUCAUGUGCACACAUGUGUGCGUGUGCAUGUGUGUGUGUGUGUGUGAGAGAGAGAGAGAUCAGCGUGGGCUUGUGCCAUACUGCCAUAGAACACAAAUUUAUCUUCAUAAUAGGGUCCAUUAUGUUCUCCCAUUUCCCCCACAAGUAAGGCAACAAAAACAAAUUUUGAGCUUCAACCUGCAGGAGAAUGCCAGGAUCCCUGUGUUGAAAAAGGGAGCCUUGGUUUGCCUUCCCCCUGCCUUGCACAGACAAACACCUGGAAGGUGCUUCUCAAUUCUUUGAGGUUGCUACCUCUCCCAUGCAGCUGUCAAAUCGCACCCCAUCAACAUGACACAGCAAAUAACACUACGACAUGCAACCAGCAACUUUCGAAAGCACGCUCUCCUCACACCCAGCCCUGUCUGCCUUCUCCAGCGUGGGCUGCUGUCUUCAAACUAACCAUCCUGAAACUGCUUAAAAGAGCCUGACAGGUAAUUUAUUCUGUGGCAGAGGAUACCAAUUUCAUUGUCCAGAGGCAAGAGAUCCAACUGCAGCAGAAAAUCCGUACUCUCAAGGAACACAGGUUUAAUAUGAUAAUGAUUCCAAGGGUGUGUGUUCAUAAUUCUUCCUGUUCUUUCCUCCCCUUCCCUAAAGCUGCUAGCGAAUGCUUUUGCAGUUUUUUUAAGGGCUCUCCAAAGAACUGACAUAGAAUAAAUCAAAUAUUUUACCACAAAGGGUGAUUAUCAAACACUUAUUUGUGAAAAGAGUCAACCAGACGGGGUCAAGGCCUAGCUGCUGUUAUGGGAUUUUUGCCCACAAGUAAAAUGUUUUUAAAAAUUGCAUCUGAUUCUCUUUGCAGAAACCCUGCUGGGAUCUACAAAGUUUCACUUGGGCACCUGGUAGAGAAGGGGAUGAGGAGCAAAAAAGGUUGAUGAACAGGACAACAUCUGCUUCUAAAAGCAAAGUCAAGGCCGCUAUGAACUUAUUUUUUCCAAAAUAAUAUGAUAGUUAUUCUCACAUUUUAUUUGCUAAAAUCCAUGCAAAGUAAGUAUUAUUAUUUCCAUUUUACAUAUGAAAACAAACAAGGCUUAGGGUAUUGAAAACUCAGCUUCUUCAAAUAUAAUAUAGGAACAGUAUGGUAAACCACAACUUUGCAUGGUGAGUUUCCAUCAGAAAUAGAGCUAGAACUGAAGCCUCCUAACUCUUAGUCUCUGCCUGCUAGCUCCCGCCCAAUGUGACUGCAUCACACCUGCAUUGCAACAAAAGGUAAAUUCUAUAGGCAGGUGAUUUUUAAACUCGCCUUUGUCACCGAACUUGUUAUGGGAUCUCGGACAAGAUGCCUCCCUUGUUAGUAUUUUGGAAGAUUGACCAGUAAGGGGAGGCUGAUAGCUCCUUAGGUCACAGUUAGUUCUUUCUGGUUGGCAGUGUCCAGCACAGUGCCUGGACUAUAAUAUAUCCUCCAUAAAUGCUCACUGCAUUGAAUUGAGAACAACAACAAAAUUCUCUUAACCCCCACUGAUGUUCCCUAGCUAGGAGCACACUGUGAUCCGAAGCAUAGGACAUUGCCCAUAGAUCCUGAGGCUAUAGGACCUAGCAUUUCCAUGUGCUCAUUGCACUAAGCUCAGUGUUUCUAGGUAGUAAUGAAUUAUUUUUUAAACCCUGCAUUUGGAGUCUCUUUCAUGUCUUUUUACAUUUCAUAUUUAUAUUUUUAAAAAUCAUGACUGUACCACAUUUUAAAAAACCUAUUCAGUCAAAUAAUAAUCCUAUUCCUUGGCUGCCAGUCAGGGGAAUGAAGGUCUCACAAAGAGUGAUUUGCCCAAGGCCAGCAAAGACUGAAUAUCAGAGAAGGAUGAUCCCAAAGGUAGACUCAGCUUAAUGAGGCCAGAGGUCUGUUGGGGCUUCACUUUGGAGAGGCCCUUCAGGGUAAGGAGUGCCAACGGCUUUGUGAAGUGGCAUGCCACCAACACUCGGUCAAAAUCACACGCAAGAGUGACACUCCUGACCUCAAGUCACCCGUUGAUUACAGUCAGGGGCAAGACAAGGGCAUAGAUCUUCUGAGGCUGGAGAACCAUGUGCUCACCCUAUCUGGGAGGAGCCCCAAGCCCUUAAUGAUCCACGCCUUCAGGGACGCCCAGGUACUCCAGAGACAAAAAGAGAGGAUAAAUCCAGAUCUCAAAGGGCAGAGACUGAGUUAUCAGUCAAGGACAAAGAGUGGAAGAUUAAGGGAACAUAGUGAGUGUCACCAGCCUGGAUUCUUGUGUCAGGGCUACAGAGGUCCCUGAUGCCAGGAGCUGGGAUGAGCCUAUGGGUUGUAUAUAAAUUGUGUAUGAAGUUACUGCUUGAUGCCAGCAAGCACUGAAACAAGAAAGAGGAGAAGCCUGUAAAGAUGGAAAUGAGGCAUCUCCCAACCCCCAUCCCACUUUCAGAAGUUUUAACAGAUGUCCUUUCCACUCCCUUUUUUCUUGGGAAUGCCUCAAGAUUCUUACUUUUCUUGAACGGGCAACUUUCCCCACCACCUACGUGUUCUUUCUAGAUUCCAAUCUGCCGCUUCUCCAUGGGGUUCUUUCUGUUCUUUUUCUUUUUUCUUUUGCUGACCUUUGUCCUCCCAAAUGUUAUCACUCAGAGAAGUCCCCCUCUGCAAACGUCCCCACUUAAGCGUGCUCUGUGCCCAGGCCCUGGACUAAGCACCAGAUGUGGAACACUGACCAAGACAAAAAACAGUCCCAGGCCAACCUGAGCUCACAGGGUCAGGCAUUAAAUAAGGAACCAAGCUGCCCGCAUCAGCAAUACCUUCUGGCCCCCGAUUUUUAUGUCUCUGUGAUUUACCUUGCCCUGAUCUAGCAGACUUCAAGGGAUUGGUUGUUGGGGCUGGCAGGGCCUGAGAGGUCAAACCCCUAUGCUGUGCCCAAGGCUGGCUGGCGUUUGAUGGGAUGGCACCAGUAGGGUCCUAUGGGUUGCUGACAAAUAGUGUCGGCUCUGCUUACCCCAGUCCGUGCUGCACCAGCUUCCAUCCUACUGGUUUUAUCAUGAAGGAGACCAACCAACGGAAGCCUGAGAUCACUGUAUAAUCAUGCAGACAGCCAAACCUCUCCAUGCUUUUCCCACUCCUGGUGUCUUCAGGGGCCUAGCUCCCUCAGAUUCUCUUGGGGAACAAGACGUUUUGCCCAACUGAGAGAUGUUCCUUUGCUGAUGUUUGGAGGCUUUCUUUCCUUUUUGUGUCCUUCCUUUUUGUGGCCGUGUUCCUACAGCCAAGGCAAAUCCAAUCAGCAGUACCAUCCUUGUUGCACCCCAUUCUCUUUGCAGGAGCUUUCCUGGCUUCUGGGCUGCUCUCCAUCUGGUUCCAAAGUCCCAAACCUUCAGAGAGAGCAGUCGCACUGCCUGAAGUUUAAAUCAAUGGGGCAAUUUGCUUUCUAGAACUCAAGUCUGCCGAUACUCUGUAUAGACUUUCUUUCCUCAGUGCAAAUGAGAAACUGAUGGUUUCAUGACUGUGAUAUCUCUGCCCUCUCUUCCCAGAUGUUUCUAGAGUCAAUUCCAGCUGCCACCAGGCCUGUUGUCCAUUUCCUGGCACGUGAUCAGUCAAUACAAAUAAAGACGAUGAGCCGACACUGCGCUUGGUCGUGACCACGUUCCCCUGGAUUGCCCUGGAUUCAAUCUUCCUUUAGACACUUCCCUCUUCAUUAACCUCACGUCUGCAUCCCUUCUUUAUUACACAGAAGUGAAAAUAUUGCUACUGCAGGAUUCAGCAGAGAAAAUUUCCAAAGACCAACAUGUGGCAUCUCCAGGGUUCCCCAUCAUUUUCUAAAUUGGUACUUCUCUCAAAUUAAAACAUUUCUGGCAUGA